AUUGAACGCUGGCGGCAGGCCUAACACAUGCAAGUCGAACGGCAGCACAGAAGAGCUUGCUCUUUGGGUGGCGAGUGGCGGACGGGUGAGUAAUGUCUGGGAAACUGCCCGAUGGAGGGGGAUAACUACUGGAAACGGUAGCUAAUACCGCAUAACGUCGCGAGACCAAAGUGGGGGACCUUCGGGCCUCACACCAUCGGAUGUGCCCAGAUGGGAUUAGCUAGUAGGUGGGGUAAUGGCUCACCUAGGCGACGAUCCCUAGCUGGUCUGGUAGGAUGACCAGCCACACUGGAGCUGAGACACGGGCCAGACGCCUACGGGAGGCAGCAGUGGGGAAUAUUGCACAAUGGGCGCAAGCCUGAUGCAGCCAUGCCGCGUGUAUGAAGAAGGCCUUCGGGUUGUAAAGUACUUUCAGCGGGGAGGAAGGCGGUGAGGUUAAUAACCUUGCCGAUUGACGUUACCCGCAGAAGAAGCACCGGCUAACUCCGUGCCAGCCGCCGCGUAA
rnacentral:rRNA from 1 species